rnacentral:rRNA from 1 species
UACGAAGGGGCUAGCGUUGCUCGGAAUCACUGGGCGUAAAGGGCGCGUAGGCGGGCUCUUAAGUCAGGGGUGAAAGCCCAAGGCUCAACCUUGGAAUUGCCUUUGAUACUGAGGGCCUUGAGACCGGAAGAGGUCGGCGGAACUGCGAGUGUAGAGGUGAAAUUCGUAGAUAUUCGCAAGAACACCAGUGGCGAAGGCGGCCGACUGG